AGCGAACGCUGGCGGCAGGCUUAACACAUGCAAGUCGAGUGGGCACCUUUCGGGGUGUCAGCGGCGGACGGGUGAGUAACGCGUGGGAACGUGCCCUCUGGUUCGGAAUAACUCAGGGAAACUUGAGCUAAUACCGGAUACGCCCUUUUGGGGAAAGGCUUGCUGCCGGAGGAUCGGCCCGCGUCUGAUUAGCUAGUUGGUGAGGUAACGGCUCACCAAGGCGACGAUCAGUAGCUGGUCUGAGAGGAUGAUCAGCCACACUGGGACUGAGACACGGCCCAGACUCCUACGGGAGGCAGCAGUGGGGAAUAUUGGACAAUGGGCGCAAGCCUGAUCCAGCCAUGCCGCGUGAGUGAUGAAGGCCUUAGGGUUGUAAAGCUCUUUUAUCCGGGACGAUAAUGACGGUACCGGAGGAAUAAGCCCCGGCUAACUUCGUG
rnacentral:rRNA from 1 species